CUUCUCGCAAUUUCUCCGUUUUGCUAAUUUUGACCUCUCAACGAACAAUUCGCGUUUUCUGAUGAUCCGUCCGUCGGAUUUUCUAUCCGACUGCUCCAUCGCAUUCAGUACAUCGGGGGCAUCGAAUCUAGCAUUUCGUUUCAUCCGAUAUGGUUGCCGAUUAGCGACAAAACCCACCCUCAAUACAAUCCACCAAUAACACAUAUAUAUACCAUAUAUAAAUCCAAUGAAACCCCCUUUUCUCGAAAAUCAUGCAUCAGAUCUAAAAUCCGUCAGUGCCAUUAGUUCUCGAAUAGCUGAACCGUU
rnacentral:lncRNA from 1 species